GACGAACGUUGGCGGCGUGCUUAACACAUGCAAGUCGAACGGAAAGGCCCUGCUUUUGUGGGGUGCUCGAGUGGCGAACGGGUGAGUAACACGUGAGUAACCUGCCCUUGACUUUGGGAUAACUUCAGGAAACUGGGGCUAAUACCGGAUAGGAGCUCCUGCUGCAUGGUGGGGGUUGGAAAGUUUCGGCGGUUGGGGAUGGACUCGCGGCUUAUCAGCUCGUUGGUGGGGUAGUGGCUUACCGAGGCUUUGACGGGUAGCCGGCCUGAGAGGGUGACCGGCCACAUUGGGACUGAGAUACGGCGCAGACUCCUACGGGAGGCAGCAGUGGGGAAUAUUGCACAAUGGGCGGAAGCCUGAUGCAGCAACGCCGCGUGCGGGAUGACGGCCUUCGGGUUGUAAACCGCUUUCGCCUGUGACGAAGCGUGAGUGACGGUAAUGGGUAAAGAAGCACCGGCUAACUACGUG
rnacentral:rRNA from 1 species